rnacentral:rRNA from 1 species
UGGGGAAUCUUGCACAAUGGGGGAAACCCUGAUGCAGCGACGCCGCGUGAGCGAUGAAGGUUUUCGAAUCGUAAAGCUCUGUCCUAUGGGAAGAUAAUGACGGUACCAUAGGAGGAAGCCCCGGCUAACUACGUGCCAGCAGCCGCGGUAAUACGUAGGGGGCGAGCGUUGUCCGGAAUUACUGGGCGUAAAGGGUUCGCAGGCGGCAUGACAAGUCCGAUGUAAAAGGCGAAAGCUCAACUUUCGUAAGCAACGGAAACUGUCAAGCUUGAGUGAAGGAGAGGCAAGUGGAAUGCCUAGUGUAGCGGUGGAAUGCGAAGAUAUUAGGAGGAGUACCGGUGGCGAAGGCGACUUGCUGGACUUCAACUGACGCUGAGGAACGAAAGCGUGGGUAGCAAAGAGG